rnacentral:rRNA from 1 species
AUUGAACGCUGGCGGCAUGCUUUACACAUGCAAGUCGAACGGCAGCACGGGUGCUUGCAUCUGGUGGCGAGUGGCGAACGGGUGAGUAAUGCAUCGGAACGUAUCCAAUAAUGGGGGAUAACGCACCGAAAGGUGUGCUAAUAUCGCAUACGCCCUGAGGGGGAAAGUGGGGGACCGUAAGGCCUCACGUUAAUGGAGCGGCCGAUGCCUGAUUAGCUAGUUGGUGAGGUAAAGGCUCACCAAGGCGACGAUCAGUAGCUGGUCUGAGAGGACGACCAGCCACACGGGGACUGAGACAAGGCCCAGACUCCUACGGAAGGCAGCAGUGGGGAAUUUUGGACAAUGGGCGCAAGCCUGAUCCAGCCAUGCCGCGUGAGUGAAGAAGGCCUUCGGGUUGUAAAGCUCUUUCGCAAGGAAAGAAAACUUAUCCCCUAAUACGGGAUGAGGAUGACGGUACCUUGAUAAGAAGCACCGGCUAACUACGUGCCAGCAGCCGCCGUAACAC